AAAAAAGUAAGGAAAAAAAUUGUUCGACUAGAAGGUACAUACUUCUGCGUUUGAUACGGAAUAUUAGAAAAUAAUAAUUUAUCAAAUAUAUUAUGUCCUUUAUAAGUUUAAAUAGCGUGUGUAUCUCGGUUGCUUGUCUAAUAUCUAAUGAAGUUGUCUGUAUAAAAUGAUUUGUUUGAACAUACCUAUCCACACAUUUUACCACUUUCAAUAGAAAAACA
rnacentral:misc_RNA from 1 species